UAUUGCUGAUUAAAAAACAUAGAAAGACAAUCCAGAGAAUGGAAGGAGUGAGGAAGGAGCAUGCUGUAGCAAUCUCAAACUAAAAGAAUGUUCACAUGAAGACAUAAACAGAAAAAGAAGCCACUUCAUAUCUAAAGAAAAAAGAAGAACACUCUUCCUCAGGAUCCCAAAAACUCAGAUUCACACUAAUCGUGCUCAGAGGUGACCAGUAAGGAAGUGCUGCAACAACUGCCAGCCGUGAAGAGACAUGAAUUACUGGUUGGGGAGGGUACAGGGCCAGUCCUGUCACAUCGAGUCUGCACAGGAUGAAGGAGGCAGCCAAGCACAGGUAACAGGCUCUCUUCUUUCACCCACAGGACUUAGGGGGGCAAGGGGAUCCCUUCUUCCACAUGUAUUCUAAAAACUCUUCUUUUUCCUUUCCCCUCCCCUUGCCUCCUUUUCAGGUAGGAUUUUCACAAAAAGUGGCUGCAGAUGCUCUUUGUGAGAUGGUGACAUUCCCAUCCCAACCCAGGCUGCUCUGCCUGGCACUUGCUCUGUUUCCUGGGUGCCACGGCCCUUCGGGAGCUCUGCUUACCCGCGCUUCCAGCCAGGAUGCCAGUGCCAUAUUCUGAUUACUCUGAGGAAGCCAGUCACUCCAGGAGGCUAUGUAUUUAAAGUUUUUCAUACCAGAAGAACUGCACAUAGAUAAAGAUGCCUUUCAUCAGCCCUGUGAGAAACCAACACCAAAACACAACCCUGCAGCAACUGAGUCACUUUCUUAAAGUGAAAACCCAAAAAGGCAGACUUCUAGGCCUUUAUAUUACAGUGUCCAUUCUUAGGUUCUCUUUCACGAGCAGUGGUGUUUGCAUUCUUCUCUUUACAAAAGGAAGAAUAAGAUCAUGUAGGUUUUAUAUAAAUGUAAAAAAAGAAAAAAAAAAAAGCUUCUCUCUCCCGCCUCUGGCACUAAUAUCCUUGGUAUUCUGCUGUCUUUUUGCUUGGUGUGUUUUUAGCAUGUUUUCAUACUCUGUGCUCAGUACUGUAACACAUAAUGAAGGUUUCCAAUCUCUGCUUACAUUAUUUGCCAAGGAUGGUUUACAGAAAACAUAAUCAACCUAUAUGGAGCGUAACACCUGAAGAAUAGGUCAAACUUAUGAGAAAGAUGCCCACGGGAGAGGCUAUUGCUUUAAAAUAUGUAAAAUAAAAUAAAUCAGCUCACAUGCCAAUUAACAGCUUUCCAGAACAUUACCUUCUUCUAUGUGAAUUAACUGGCUUUUGCACCAGAUCCUAAUGUUAAUGAAGGUGAUAAAGAAACUGCAAAACAUAAAAGAUAUAUGUUACAAAUCAACCUGUUGACAUUUUGAAUAAGAAAACUUAUACUGCACCAAGUUAAACACUAACUAUAAUAUAAUAUAUGGCACAAUAUUCUAAUGUACCAAGGAAGUCCUUUAAGGUUUAAAUUCUGAUGAUCUAUUCACUUUUGAUAAAUUUUAUGAUCUGAAGUAGUUCUCUCUCUAAUAUAAAACGUAUCUCCAACCACCUACUAGUUAUGAAAGCCAUUAAAUUCUUGCAGAUUGAAGGUGGAAAAAUAAAUUGUGUAUAUUUUAGACCCUGAAUGAUCUUCCUAUAGCAAUUUUAGAACAAACUAUGAAGAAUUCUGCAAUUUUAAUCUCAGUAGCUUCCCAUUACUAAACAAGCAAAG